rnacentral:rRNA from 1 species
UACGGAGGGUGCUAGCGUUGUUCGGAAUCACUGGGCGUAAAGGGCGUGUAGGCGGUCUGUUAAGUCUGAUGUGAAAUCCCCUCGCUCAACGAGGGAACUGCGUCGGAUACUGGCAGACUUGAGUACCGGAGAGGAAGAUGGAAUUCCCGGUGUAGCGGUGAAAUGCGCAGAUAUCGGGAGGAACACCAAUGGCGAAGGCGACUACCUGGCCUGUUCUUGACGCUGAGGCGCGAAAGCUAGGGGAGCAAACGGGG